rnacentral:rRNA from 1 species
UGGGGAAUUUUGGACAAUGGGCGAAAGCCUGAUCCAGCCAUGCCGCGUGAGUGAAGAAGGCCUUCGGGUUGUAAAGCUCUUUCAGGUGGAAAGAAAACGCAUAGGUUAAUACCUUGUGCGGAUGACGGUACCAUCAGAAGAAGCACCGGCUAACUACGUGCCAGCAGCCGCGGUCAUACGUAGGGUGCGAGCGUUAAUCGGAAUUACUGGACGUAAAGCGUGCGCAGGCGGUCUUGUAAGACAGUCGUGAAAGCCCCGGGCUUAACCUGGGAACUGCGAUUGUGACUGCAAGGCUAGAGUGUGUCAUAGAGGGGUGGAAUUCCGCGUGUAGCAGUGAAAUGCGUAGAUAUGCGGAGUAACACCGAUGGCGAAGGCAAUCCCCUGGACCUGUACUGACGCUCAUGCACGAAAGCGUGGGGAGCAAACA